rnacentral:rRNA from 1 species
UACGGAGGGUGCAAGCGUUAAUCGGAAUUACUGGGCGUAAAGCGUGCGCAGGCGGUUUGUUAAGUCUGCUGUGAAAUCCCCGAGCUCAACCUGGGAACUGCGUUUGGUACUGGCAAGCUAGAGUACGGCAGAGGGGGGUGGAAUUCCACGUGUAGCAGUGAAAUGCGUAGAGAUGUGGAGGAACACCGAUGGCGAAGGCAGCCCCCUGGGCCGAUACUGACGCUCAGGCACGAAAGCGUGGGGAGCAAACAGG